rnacentral:rRNA from 1 species
CGAAAGCCUGACGGAGCAAUGCCGCGUGGAGGAAGACGGCCCGUGGGUUGUAAACUCCUUUUCUCAGAGAAGAAGAAGUGACGGUAUCUGAGGAAUAAGCAUCGGCUAACUCCGUGCCAGCAGCCGCGGUAAUACGGAGGAUGCAAGCGUUAUCCGGAAUCAUUGGGCGUAAAGCGUCUGUAGGUGGCUUUGUAAGUCCGCUGUGAAAGAGUACAGCUUAACUGUAACUAGGCAGUGGAAACUAUGAGGCUGGAGUGUGGUAGGGGUAGAGGGAAUUCCCGGUGUAGCGGUGAAAUGCGUAGAUAUCGGGAAGAACACCAACGGCGAAAGCACUCUGCUGGGCCAACACUGACACUGAGAGACGAAAGCUAGGGUAGCCAAUG